CUUUCGCUUCAAUAGGGUGCGCAGAUCUUUGUCUGUUGUCGGGGAAGUGAGAGAUUGCUCGACUUUGCUGUUCAGUUUGUCGCGUAAAUCUGGUUGCAUUGUCGAGGAGUCGUCGUCAGAGGAGUCACAAGGGCGAGAGAGUAUGACUUCCACUCGUCGCCGGCGACGCGGAUGUUCGUCUUCUGAUGAAUCGUUGGCGGGGCCGACGUUGUUGACAGGAGUGCGCUCAGGGCUCGCUCUUUCCUCGCUGGGGGCCGUGUUCUGCUGAGACUUCUG
rnacentral:lncRNA from 1 species